rnacentral:rRNA from 1 species
CAAUAGCGUAUAUUAAAGUUGUUGCAGUUAAAAAGCUCGUAGUUGGAUUUCUGAUCGAGACAUCAGGUCGGGUCCGAGAGGAUCAUGUACUUUGAUUUUGUUUUGAUCAUCCUUGGGGAGAGCAUUUCUGGCAUUCAGUUGUCGGGAUUGGGAUCCUCAUCGUUUACUGUGAAAAAAUUAGAGUGUUCAAAGCAGGCCUCGGCCUCUGAAUGCAUUAGCAUGGAAUAAUAAGAUAGGACUUUGGUGGUCUAUUUUGUUGGUUUGCACGCCAAAGUAAUGAUUAAUAGGGAUAGUUGGGGGUAUUCGUAUUCAAUUGUCAGAGGUGGAAUUCUUGGAUUUAUGGAAGACGAACUACUGCGAAAGCAUUUACCAAGGAUGUUUUCAUUAA